AUAUUCUUCCUUGACUUUGGGCUUUAUUGCCUUUUAUUUUUCGCCUCUUCCGUCUCGUCCCACCCAUAUCUUCUUUUCCUCCAAGAAGACAAGGAGCUUUCUUGCCAACUGCCUUUAUUUUUCUCUGCAACCAAUAAAAUAGGCUGUAAUCCAGAAUCUCUUUGGGCCUUGAAAAGUGUAGCCAUUAGCCUCGUUCUUUGGAGAUCUGAGGUAGAGAAAGAAAGAUCAUUGUCGUAUGGAUAAUAUCCUGCGCCUUUGUUUAUUUUGGUACCAGAGGAGGAGUUGGUCGGAUACUUUUGUUUGGGAAAUCCAUGACAUAGACAUUGUAAUUGUAAUUGUAAUUGUAUUGACCCGGUGAUAUUCCCGAUA